rnacentral:rRNA from 1 species
AUUGAACGCUGGCGGCAUGCUUUACACAUGCAAGUCGAACGGUAACAGGUUAAGCUGACGAGUGGCGAACGGGUGAGUAAUGCAUCGGAACGUGCCCGAUCGUGGGGGAUAACGCAGCGAAAGUUGCGCUAAUACCGCAUACGAUCUGAGGAUGAAAGCGGGGGACCGUAAGGCCUCGCGCGAUCGGAGCGGCCGAUGUCAGAUUAGGUAGUUGGUGGGGUAAAGGCUCACCAAGCCAACGAUCUGUAGCUGGUCUGAGAGGACGACCAGCCACACUGGGACUGAGACACGGCCCAGACUCCUACGGGAGGCAGCAGCGGGGAAUUUUGGACAAUGGGCGAAAGCCUGAUCCAGCAAUGCCGCGUGCAGGAAGAAGGCCUUCGGGUUGUAAACUGCUUUUGUACGGAGCGAAAAGGCUCUCUCUAAUACAGGGGGCUCAUGACGGUACCGUAAGAAUAAGCACCGGCUAACUACGUGCCAGCAGCCGCAGUAA